rnacentral:rRNA from 1 species
CACGCCGUAAACGAUGAAUGCCAGCCGUUAGUGGGUUUACUCACUAGUGGCGCAGCUAACGCUUUAAGCAUUCCGCCUGGGGAGUNACGCGCAGAACCUUACCAGCCCUUGACAUGUCCAGGACCGGUCGCAGAGAUGUGACCCUCUCUUCGGAGCCUGGAACACAGGUGC